rnacentral:rRNA from 1 species
UACAGAGGGGGCCAGCGUUAUUCGGAAUUAUUGGGCGUAAAGGGCGCGUAGGCGGCCACCGCAAGUCGACUGUGAAAUCUCCGGGCUUAACCCGGAAAGGUCAGCCGAUACUGCGGGGCUAGAGUGCAGAAGGGGCAACUGGAAUUCUCGGUGUAGCGGUGAAAUGCGUAGAUAUCGAGAGGAACACCUGCGGCGAAGGCGGGUUGCUGGGCUGACACUGACGCUGAUGUGCGAAAGCUAGGGGAGCGAACGGG